UGUAGGAAGCAUACAUUGAGAGAAGGAAAACAUCAACAGAGAAUAAGUAAUAGCAAGCCAGAUUGAUCAUGUCACUUGUCAAGAACGACACACAUAUUCUCUAUUUCGUUGCUCUUCUCUUGACGUGCACCACUUUUUUGUGUCGCCCUGCUAUAGCAGUAUUGGAUAUAGGUACCAAGGUUCCACUUGGAAAACUAUGCUUUAGUUUUCCAGUGUGCGCGAGACCAUCUGACUUUGUCAUGCUUAACUGCAACAUAAAGUGUGAACUGCUUGGCUAUGGCGAGAACAAAGGCCACUGCGUUAAGAGCAAUGGAGGAUUGUACUGCUGCAUCCCUUCCUAAAGUGAAUGUCAUGUUAAACCAUAAUGUUAGAAAAUCAUUCCAUGUAAUUGUUAGACUUAUUACCAAUUUAUGUGGAUCAUACACAAAAUUCAAUAAAGUAUACCAGUAGUUGCUUUCGAA